GUCGUUAGAGCACUGGGAAAGGGGGCGGGCUGCUGGCUGGGAGGGGUCGGCGCGGUUUCUGGCGCGCCACCGGAAGGGCGUUAUCCUGGGGGAACUGAGAGUGGAAACUUUCCUCCCGGGAAAGGAAGAAACCCGACUGGAGAAAGAUGGGGUCUCGCCAUGUCACCCACGCUGGUCUUGAACUCCUGGGCUCAAGCGAUCCUCCUGCCCCAGCCUUCCAAAGUACUGGGAUUACAGGUAUGGAACAGGCUGACAGAGCUGGAUCCAAAGGGCUCAGAAUGGAGCAACCAAGGUGUAUUCACCUGAUGCUUUGGUCUCCCUAAGCUCUUCCAUAGAAACGAUCAUAUAUCACCUCGGCAAUUGUUUUACGAUUUCUCACUGUGUUUCUCAGAAUGGUCUCAGACUCCUGGCCUCAAGCGAUCCUUCUGCCUGAGCCUCCCAAAGUGCCGGGAUUACAGGCAUGAACCACUGCACUCAGCCUGUUUUCAACCUUAUAUAAAUGGAAUCCUACUGUAUGUGCUUUUUGAUAUCUGGGCUCCUUUGCUCUAUAUUAUGUCUGUGAGAUUAAUAAACUUGUUUGUUCAGUUACGUUACUGCUGUGUAGCAUUCUAUUGUAUAAUGUACCACAAUUUAUUCAUCUGGUCAUCCAACAAUUUGGGUGGUUAUGUUUGGGGGUACUGUGAACUAUGCUGCUGUGAAUAUGUACCCAAGUUGUGGACCAUCUAUGUAUGUGUUUCUGUUCAGUAUAUACCUUGAAGUGUAAUUGCUGG
rnacentral:lncRNA from 1 species